CCUUCAUGAGUGUCGGCCGCAGGAGCCCACAAGUCCCUGGCAGGGCACAGAAGAGGUGCUGUCAGACGGGGGCGCAUGUGGACUGGAGCUCUGUCGCCGGCAGAUUCGCUGCGAGCCCCCGAGCAAGGAACAGUCCACCUCCGGGCCUCACCACCCCUCGCCUAGGACAGCGCCGGAGUCGGGCGAGGGCGCCUCAGCCGCCACAGCGCAUCCCACCCCGGCCCGCUCACCGGUCACUCGACCACAGCACCAGCGGGACCUGCUGCUCCGCCGCUGCCGCCGCCGCCGCCGCCGCCAACGACAAAAACACCGGCAGCCACGGCAUGCGCCAGAGCGCCUGGGCGCACCGCGGCCCCAUCCGCACUCGAGCCGUCGCCAUGGCCGCCAUCAUAGCCUCAGCCUCCACUGCCUCAGCGGCCUCGACAGCCGCAGAUCAGGUGACCGUUGCCCCCGCCCGAGCCCCGCCUCGCACCUCCAUUGGCCCCAGCGCGGGCCGACCGGCAGGGCCGCAGGUAAUUGGACCAAGUGCAUGCCACUCGCGGCCACUCCUUCUCACUGGUUGGCUGUACGUGUCUCCAGGCGCUCACGCUCCGAGUGGGAAAGGGGAUGGGGCCCAGCUAGACCGACUAGGACGAGACAAGAGGGACAGGGAGGCUUCGCGGAACCCUACGCCCACCCGACGCGUUCGCCCGUCCGUUUUUAUUUUUAUUUUUAUUUUGGUUUUUUUGUUGUUGUUCUCUUCUUUUGUCUUUUUUUUUUCUUUAGAGACGGGGUCUAGCUAUGUUGGCCAGGCUGGUCUCGAGUCCCCGGGCUCAAGCGAUCCUCCCGCCUCAGCCUCCGGAAAAGUGGGACUACAGGCGCGCAUCGCCGCACCCGGCCAAUCCCUGUUUUAAUCCUUUUCCUUAAAAUUGCAAAAGUGGUGUCUUUUUCCUGCAGAUGGACCCUCCCUGAUACAGGAGGAGAAAAAGAGACAGACACAGGGAGGAGAGCACUGCACGCAGCUGAAGGCAGAGAUUGGAAUGACACCUCUGCAAGCCAAGGAACACGGAGCAUUGCUGGGAACCACCGGAAGAAGCCAGAAGACAGGCCUGGAGCUGGCUUUCCCUCACAGCCCCAGAAGGAACCCACCCUGGUGCCACCUUGAUUUCGGACUUCUGGCCUUCAGAACUGGGAGAGAAUAAAUUUCUGUUGCUUUAAACUUC
rnacentral:lncRNA from 1 species